UACGGGGGGGGGCUAGCGUUAUUCGGAAUCAUUGGGCGUAAAGGGCGCGUAGGCGGCGCGGUAAGUCAAAGGUGAAAUCCCUCGGCUCAACUGAGGAACUGCCUUUGAAACUGCCGUGCUUGAGUCCGGGAGGGGGUAGCGGAAUUCCCAGUGUAGCGGUGAAAUGCGUAGAUAUUGGGAGGAACACCAGUGGCGAAGGCGGCUACCUGGACCGGUACUGACGCUGAUGCGCGAAAAGCGUGGGGGAGCAAACAGG
rnacentral:rRNA from 1 species